rnacentral:lncRNA from 1 species
UUUACUCCUUUUGGAAUAAGUUAAUAUGAAAUAGUACAUAACAUAAAACUAGUGAACAUAAAUUUGUACAAAAUCAUAGACACCAAUUGAAGUAAUUUCAACAAUAUUAUUUUCUUUUUUCACGAUAUUGUUGAUUCUAAUUUCAGAACAUCAAGCAAUGCAUCCUUGUUUCAGUAAUAUUCCAACAAUCUGUCAAAUGGAUAGAUUUAAUGAAAAUAAGUAGCCGAAUUUGGGAAUCUAACAUUUUAGAUAUGAAAGGAGUAUUAGAAGGAGAAGGAUAACGAGGAAGAUUCAUUCAAGUCAUUUUCUCCCUCUUUGAUCCUACAUAAGCUUGACAUUAUCACAAAU